AGCAGCCGCGGUAAUUCCAGCUCCAAUAGCGUAUAUUAAAGUUGUUGCAGUUAAAAAGCUCGUAGUUGAACUUCGGGAUUUACCCAUCGGUCAGGCUUAAUUGUCUGCACUGGUGAGAUAAAUCUCUACCUUCUGAGGAACUUUCAUGCCAUUUAUUUGGUGUGAUUGGAAAUCAGGACUAUUACUUUGAAAAAUUAGAGUGUUUAAAGCAGGCUAACGUCUGAAUAUAUUAGCAUGGAAUAAUGAAAUAGGACGGCUUGGUUCUAUUUCGUUGGUUUCUAGGAUCACCGUAAUGAUUAAUAGGGAUAGUUGGGGGCAUUAGUAUUCAAUUGUCAGAGGUGAAAUUCUUGGAUUUAUUGAAGACUAACUACUGCGAAAGCAUUUGCCAAGGAUGUUUUCAUUAAUCAAGAACGAAAGUUAGGGGAUCGAAGACGAUCAGAUACCGUCGUA
rnacentral:rRNA from 1 species